AUCCUCACAACUAAGGUCUGAAGAUUGCGAAGCUGGUACAAGAAAUUCAAAAAAAUCAUCAGCCGCUUUGUAAGAGGUGCACAUGUGAAACCAAGGUAUCUCAAAUGAAUUAGCUCACUGAUAUCCUCAACAGAUUCACCAAGUGUCACACUUAAUGCAUCGAACACCUUAAGAAGUCUAAAUUCUUUCCAAGAAUCGAACGCCCAAUGCUUGAAAAGAAGGAGGGUAUGCAUAGUUGAAACCAUCUCAAUGCUACCGGAGACAUUACAAAACACACUCAGGCGGUUUGAAUUCUCAACGCCUUGAGGAAAGCUGCCGGAGAACUCAUCAAUGGUGCACAGAAAAUUCUCAUCUCGACAUUUCCUUAAACAGAGGCCUCUCAUGAGAUCAUGGAUCUUCACUGUCCUGAUCUUGCCAUCAGAUCCUUUCUUACUGAUCAAAACAAGACUUUUUGCUACCAACUCUUCCAAAUACUCAUAUCCCAACUCCUCCAUCUCUCUUGCUUCAUUUGACAACAGAAACCCCUCCGCCGCCCACAACCUGAUCAGUUUCGACACAUUGAUCUCAUAAUCUUCCGGGAAACACCCCAUGUACAGAAAGCAAGGCCUUAAACGACCAGGCAAGUACUCAUAACUCAACGACAUAGCUCAACAAAAGUUUAAAGUUAAGUAACUAAUUUACUUUACGUACGAACACUUUCUUCCCAAUUGGCCUCACAAGAGAGAACUCCAGCUAUUACAACAACUGCAAGUGGAAGCCCUCGACAGUUCUGUGCAAUAACUUGUCCAAUUUCCUCAAAUUCGAGAGGGCAAUCUCCAUUUCCAAACACCCUCCCCUUAAGCAACCUCCAGCUUUGAUCCACAGCCAUCAACUGCAUUUGAUGAGGAUGUAAAGAGUCGAUGUAAGAAGCUACGCUCAACUCCCUCGUAGUUACUAUAAUCCGACUCCCAUUACGAUCAUCGGGAAAGAUCCCCCGUAGAUCAUCCCACACAUUCAUAUCCCACAUAUCAUCCAUUACAACGAGAUAUCUCAUCCCUUUCAAGCGUUUAUAUACAGUUUCUUUCAAUAACUCAUCGUGCUUACGCUUAUACGCUUCCACACCCACAUUAUUGAGCGAACACAGGGCACUAACAAGAAUUUCCCUUAAUUGAAAUCUUUGAGAUAUUGUUAACCAAACGCAUAGAUCAAAGCGAUGAACACUCGAAGGGUCGUGGUAAGCAUACCUAGCAAGAGUGGUUUUCCCGAUGCCUCCCAUCCCAACAAUGGGGAUGACUCUAAGCUGAGAUGAUCCUCCACAGAGCUCACUCUUUAUCUUCAGCAAGUCUUCUUCGAUCCCAAUAAUGCAAUCAGAGGGCCUUGGAUCGUUCAUGCUGCUUUGGAUCUGCAUUGCUGUUGGCUUUUAUGAACUACCACUUCAAAAAGAUUCAACCUUGCAAAAUUGGGGUUUUUUUUUUCUCCCAGUCCAUCAAAUAAUUCGGGACAAGCAAUGGAUGAAUGUGAGAGCUAGCCAAACAUCAAUGAAUUUUGGAGACAACCACAAGCAAUCAAAGUUGGUCAAACCUUAUACAGAAAUGGGGUUGCAUUUUGUUUUUUGUUUUUUGUUUUAAAUCAACAAUUAAAAAAAAAGGCUUUUUUAGGUUGGAACGUUUGACUUUCCAGUUUCCACCCUAAAAAUAAGCCCCAAAAUUACUUUAACCUUUUAACCUUUUACCCCCCAAUUUAUUUUCUACAGUUUACUUCUCCCCUCCCCAGCUUCCGAUCCACCUGUCACCGUCGCAUCCACCGCCGGCGUUGCUUCAGCGAGAAACCGUAAAACGGUGAGUCUUUUGAGAUUUGUUUUACAUUCCAUCUCAGUGGUGUUAAAAGCACGCUGUUGAUUUGUCGUGGUUUAGUUAGCAGUUUUGAAACAGAUCACUUUUACAACCAAGUGAGAAGAAGAUGGUUCGAAGAGGUGGUCGCGCCAGCAAACACGAGAGCUCUCAUCGAUUCUUCAAAGUCAUGUUUGGCAAGAACCACUCAAAAUUUAUGGUACUAAAACCUCUCUCUCUCUCUCUCUCUCACUGUUAGCUGUUUUUAUUAUAUUGCUUUCUUUUCUCUCUCUCAUUCUUCUGGCGAAUCUGUGGAUUUAGGGUUCUGUGCUCUCUGUCAGGGCAUUGCGUUUAAAUAUGUUAUAUCUAUGCAGUGGUUAAACUAGAAAUCUUUUCUGCAGCACUUCAGUUUUAUGUGAAUUUUCUUCGCACAAUCAACUGAGUAUAUUUAUUACGUUGGUUUCGCUCCUGCAUGGAUGAUUGUAAUCUCUUGUUUACUUGCUCUUUUAUCGGCUUGUUAUUUUUGUGAUUAAUUUGAUAACAUAACGCUAUGAAUAAUUAAAUGAAGUUGUGGAUCUUGUGUGUGGCUAUCACAUUUUUUAUGCUAUGUAAAGACCAAAAAUUACUAUAGUUGGGUAGCAGGUUUAGCAGGCAAUUAGAUGCAUCAUGUUAAAAGCAUCUCCCAUGGUGCAUUUAUCUUGUCAACCAGAAACCAUAUACUAAAAAGCAAGGAUCACAAAUUCUUGUUGCUUGGUUUCAAUAUAUUUGAGCAAGAAGAGAAUAGCAAAGAUUGCAACUUGUCAUUUGUCCUCAAAUAGCUUAUCUUCAGACUUGAACUUUUCCGUAAAAUAUGCUUAAAACGCCAUAAAACUCGAAAGACUUAGAUUGACGGCCAUUUGCACCCGUCAAAUUCUUGGGUGUAAUUGCACUAUUAAGUUGGGGGGUUUUGAUUUAUUUUGUGCCAAGACAAACUUUAGGGGAUUUUGUGAAUCACUGUAAACAUUAAGGGCAUUUAUGCUCCUUAUCCCAAGUAUUAAUGAUGUUAGUCCAGUUAUGUGAUCACAUUUAAAAGUGCUGCAUGUUGGACCACUUUGUCUACACAAGAUACUUUUGGCAUGUCAAAUCCUUUCCCACACAGAUUAAACUAUGAACCAUUUGAAAAGUAAAAAUGAUUAUUUUGUGGAGUAACUUGCCUUUUGUACUGCCCAAUUCUAAGUGGGCUUAAUCCUCUCUUUGAAUGUUUACCUUUUAUCGAAAUGAACAAAUAAAAUUUCAAAUUCUUUUGCAGUACUUGCCUCCGAAGUUUGCGCAAAGAGUGAAGCACUUGUUGACUAAUAAAAAAACUGAACUUAAGGAUUCACAUGGGCAGCGAUGGUCUGUAACACUGUCUCUUGUCGAUGGAGCCCUUGCAUUCCAAAUGGGUUGGGAAGAGUUUUAUCUAUACCAUGGUCUCAAAGAAGGACAGCUGUUACUAUUUAAGUACAAGGAAAGCCAUUUUACUGUUCGUAUUUUUGGAACAAGUGCCUGUGAGAGAACAAACUUUAAUAAUGAAAUGCCUGGUCGGAGAAAAAAGCGUAAGAGAUGCCAAGGGACAACUUCAGAAGAUGAAGCACAUCAGACAGCUGGUGUAAAGUCAGAUAUAUCCUGUAAACACAAAUUUUUGUAUUUCAAUUUGAUAAAAUACAAAACGCGUUACAAAGAUAAUUUGAUAGAUAUGAAGAUAGAUUUAUGCGGUUGCAAUCUCUAGUUAAUCCUCUGAUUCUUCUCUUCCAUUUGAUUCUUGAACAAACUCGAAGGUUCUUGAAAUACUUGUUUUGAUGACGCCAAUCCAAGGGACUUAAGUCGUGAUUUUGGAUUGAACGUUGGACUUGAUUUGAUUUGAGAAGAACGUCCUUAGAAUUUUUUGUAAGAACGCCUUGAAGCUUUCGAACUUGAUUUGAUUUGAUUUGAAGAACGUCCUUAGAAUUUGUAAGAACGCCUUGAAGCUUUGGGACUUGGUUGAUUUGAUUUGAGGAAGAUCGUUCUUGGAAUUUGUAAGAACGCCUUGAUCACUUGAAGAUUUGAAGAUUUGAUCACUUGAAGAUACUUGAAGAAUACUUGAAGAUUUGAAUGCUCAAAUACUUGAAGAUUCGAAGAAGACUUGAACGCUAGAUAGAAUUCUUCAAGAUACUUGAAUACUUGGAAGAAUACUUGAACUCUCCAAUUUUUCGCCUCUUUCAACUUGCGAUACUAGAGAGAAUUCUUUAUACUCUUCGAUCUUCCGUUCCUUCACGUUGUUGAUUAUGAGCACCCCAACACCUCUAUUUAUAGAUUUUGGAGAUGGGCUUCANUAUAGUGUCAUUUGUAUAACACAAUAGUGUCAAUUACAGACAAUGUUAUUUAUAUAAUCAGAUAGUGUCAUUUACACAAUUUGAAUCAGAAUGCGAGUUUGAAUCAGAAUGAGGGUCAAGGUCAGGAUCUAAGUACGAGUCAACUCGAAUGUCCGAUACACUCGAGUGCAUCCAAGAUCAUCUCUUUAAAAAAAAGGGUGCAUAUUGAAAAUUGAAAUAGAACGUUUGACUUUCCACCCUAAAAAUAAGCCCCAAACUAAGUCUUCUUCGAUCCCAACAAUGCAAUCAGAGAGCCUUAGAUUUUUCAUGCUGCUUUGGAUCUGCAUUGCUGUUGGCUUUUAUGAACUACUACUUCAAAAAGAUUCAACCUUGCAAAAUUGGAUUUAUUUAUUUAUUUAUUUUUCUACCAGUCCAUCAUCAAAUAAUUUGGGAUAAGCAAUGGAUGAAUGUGAGAGGCUGAGAGCUAACCAAAACUUCAAUGAAUUGUGGAGAUAAUUAACUUGUAUGUGUAGACCCCACCACAACCACAAACAAUCAAAGUUGAUCAAACCUUAUACAGAAAUGGGGUUGCAUUUUGUAUAACCGAAUAAUGUAAUUUACACGGUUUGGAUUAGGAUGCUUGGAUCAGGAUGCGGGUUAAGGCUAGGGUGCGGAUCAGGUGCAAUUGAUUGCACCCAAAACCAGCUCUAGAUUUAAUUAAGGCGGAUGCAUCAAAGCGUGGAUCUAAUGAUUAACAUUCCCUUAUUUUUUUCAUAUAAAGAAAUUACUCAAAAUAGUUGAGAGUUUUGAGACGGCUAAAAGAGGAAUACGAUUCAAACUAGUUGGGACGGAGGGAGUAGUUGAGAGAUGUAUAUAAAGUGUAGAAGAAUGUUCAAUAUUUAUUUUGUAAUAUCAAGUGUGAAUGUAGUUUAAAAUAUAAGUGAUAGUCUAAAAAGAAAAGCAUGCAAUUUGUAUGCAAUUUGCUUUUAUGAACUACCACUUCAAAAAGAUUCAACCUUGCAAAAUUGGGGUUUUUUUUUUCUCCCAGUCCAUCAAAUAAUUCGGGACAAGCAAUGGAUGAAUGUGAGAGCUAGCCAAACAUCAAUGAAUUUUGGAGAUAACCACAAGCAAUCGAAGUUGGUCAAACCUUAUACAGAAAUGGGCUUGCAUUUUGUUUUUUGUUUUUUUUUUUUAAAUGAACAAUUAAAAAAAAGGCUUUAUUCGGUUGGAACGUUUGACUUUCCAGUUUCCACCCUAAAAAUAAGCCCCAAAAUUACUUUAACCUUUUAACCUUUUACCCCCCAAUUUCUUUCUACAGUUUACUUCUUUCUCCCCUCCCAGCUUCCGAUCCACCUGUCACCGUCGCACUCCACCGCCGGCGUUGCUUCAGCGAGUAACCGUAAAACGGUGAGUCUUUUGAGAUUUAUUUUACAUUCUAUCUCAGCGGUGUUAAAAGCACGCUGUUGAUUUGUCGUGGUUUAGUUAGCAGUUUUGAAACAGAUCACUUUUACAACCAAGUGAGAAGAAGAUGGUUCGAAGAGGUGGUCGCGCCAGCAAACACGAGAGCUCUCAUCGAUUCUUCAAAGUCAUGUUUGGCAAGAACCACUCAAAAAUUUAGUACGUAAACCUAACCUCUCUCUCUCUCUCUCUCACUGUUAGCUGUUUUUAUUAUAUUGCUUCUUUUCUCUCUCAUUCUUCUGGCGAAUCUGUGGAUUUAGGGUUCUGUGCUCUCUGUCAGGGCAUUGCGUUUAAAUAUGUUAUAUCUAUGCAGUGGUUAACUAUAAAUCUUUCUGCAGCACUUCUAGUUUUAUGUGAAUUUUCUUCGCACAAUCAACUAAGUAUAUUUAUUACGUUGGUUUCGCUCCUGCAGGCUGCAUGGAUGAUUGUAAUCUCCUGUUUACUUGCUCUUUUAUCGGCUUGUUAUUUUUGCGAUUAAUUUGAUAACAUAACGCUAUGAAUAAUUAAAUGAAGUUGUGGAUCUUGUGUGUGGCUAUCACAUAUUUUAUGCUAUAUAAAGACCAAAAAUUACUAUAGUUGGGUAGCAGGAUUAGCAGGCAAUUAGAUGCAUCAUGUUAAAAGCAUCUCCCAUGGUCCAUUUAUCUUGUCAACCAAAAGCCAUAUAAAAGCAAGGAUCACAAAUUCUUGUUGCUUGGUUUCAAUAUAUUUGAGCAUGGAAGAGAAAAUGCAAAGAUUACAACUUGUCAUUUGUCCUCAAAUAGCUUAUCUUCAGACUUGAACUUUUCCGUUAAAUAUGCUUAAAACGCGAUAAACCAGUAAAGAACUCGAAAGACUUAGAUUGACGGCCAUUUGCAUCUGUCAAAUUCUUGGGUGUAAUUGUGCUAUUAAGUUGGGGGGUUUUGAUUUAUUUUGUGCCAAGACAAACUUUAGGGGAUUUGUGAAUCACUUUGAACAUUAAGGGCAUUUAUGCUCCUUAUCCCAAGUAUUAAUGAUGUUAGUCCUUCUUUUGUAUACCGCAAGGUAUACUUCAACAUUUUACUUCUUUUGUAUUUCUGGCAAAUGGCAAGAAGAGUGUUCCUUUCUUAAAGGCCUUGUGGAUGUGCACUAUUUGGGUGAUUUGGAGAAUGAGGAAUGUUAGUAGAUUUGAAGAUAAGGUGUGCGAGUUUAAUAGCUUGAUCAUGGAGAUAAAGACUAGAAUGUGGACUUGGAAUAAGAUUUUUGGUUUUUUUGCUGCGGAACCAUCCUUGUUGGAAUGGUGUGCUCCAAAGUUUUGUGGUUCCCUUAUUUAAAAAGUUUAGGUACCGCUGGUACCGUCAUCCUUUUUUUUUAAUAUAAUAUGCCUUUUUUCUGAUAAAAAAAAAAAAUUAAUGAUGUUAGUCCAGUUAUGUGAUCACAUUUAAAAGUGCUGCAUGUUGGACCACUUUGUCUACACAAGAUACUUUUGGCAUGUGAAAUUCCUUUCCCACACAGAUUAAACUAUGGACCAUUUGAAAAGUAAAAAUGAUUAUUUUAUCUCAAUUCUAAGUGGGCUUAAUCCUCUCUUUGAAUGUUCACCUUUUGUCGAAAUGAACAAAUAAAAUUUCAAAUUCUUUUGCAGCACUUGCCUCCGGAGAUUGCGCAAAGAGUGAAGCACUUGACUAAUCAAGACACUGAACUUGAAGAUUCAUAUGGGCAGCUAUGGCCUGUAACACUGUCUCUUGUCGAUGGCUCCCUUGCAUUCCAAAUGGGUUGGGAAAAGUUUUAUGUAGGCCAUGGUCUCAAAGAAGGACAGCUGUUAGUAUUUAAGUACAAGGAAGGCCAAUUUACUGUUCGUAUUUUUGGAACAAGUGCCUGUGAGAGAACAAACUUUAAUAAUGAAAUGCCUGGUCGGAGAAAAAAGCGUAAGAGAUGCCAAGGGACAACUUCAGAAGAUGAAGCACAUCAGACAGCUGGUGUAAAGUCAGAUAUAUCCAUCUCGGCCUCCGGAGAUGAAUCUCAAAACCGUAUAACCAAGCUUGCGGUUGAUUUAAGCUUUGAGAUGGAAAACGGAAGAUUUGAUGCAAAUAAAGCUGAGGGUGCUGUAAUCAAACUUUUAGACGCUAGUACUGAAACUGAACAGCGUGAUGUCUUUGAUAAUGCAUCAGACAAAGGAUUAUCCUUAUCUAGUAAUUGGGUUCUAGAACCAACCUACCCAGCAGGGAGAGAUGCUAUGGAGCAGACUAAGACAACUGCAGAGGAUGCUCAAAUGGGUGUGAUCGAGACAGAUCUAAUCACAAGUACUGCUGGUGAUGAUGCUAUGGAGCAGACGAAGACAACUGCAGAGGAUGCUCAAAUGGGUGCCAACAAGACAAACCUAAUCACAAGUAAUACUGGUGACAUUUCUAUUGACAAGUUUGUGACAGCGUCGGAUGCGAAAACAGCCAUUUCUCAUACUGAAAUCACAGACCAGAUUCGGAAAAAAGUGGGUGGCACUCAAAUGACUCCUCAUUCACAUCAGGCAGGUGGCCAUUCUGGUGAUGCUUUUAUGAAAUGGUUUUAUCAUGAGAAACCUUCUGAUGACAAUAAAAUGAAGAAGAUCAUGCUCAAGAUUUUUCCAAAUUUAUAACGAAUUCGAGCUCGAACAUCAUAUAUAUGAACAUCUAACGAGCCGAGUUCGAGCUCAAGCACGAAUUCGACAUUAUCGAAUCGAGCUCGAGCCGAGCUCGAACACUCGAAUAUUUAAAUGAGCCGAGCUCGAGCCUGCUAGUAUUCAGCUCGACUCGGCUCAGCUCAACUCGUUUACAGCCCUAGAUAUACCAUGACUUCCCAAUUAAUGCUUACUAGAUUUAACAAGGGCGGAUGAGUUUAAGCACAUCAGUAUAUUUCAGCUAGAUGAUAAUAGUAUACAAUACCAAAUAUAAUGUGUAGAUCAUACAGAAACACAAUCUUAAAAUCUAUGUGGAAAAUAGCCUGAAAAUAACGGAUUAUCAAACUAAGACAAUCACGAAUUGCUUGAGAAAAUGGAUUUCACAUCACAAUCCAUUGAAAUCUGGUCAGCUACGUGACUUAAGGAAACGAACCUGCAAUUGCUCAUUGCCAUAGCUCUGUUGUUCUUCUUCAAUACAUUUUGCAGAUUCCACCAUCGUCGUGUUCCUGCUAUCAACUUCAAUCAGCUCAAGCGUCGGUAUAUCUCCAAAACCACAUGGAAUCUCCCUCAGAUUAUCGCAUUCGUACAGAGAUAACCGCUCGAGCCUGGGAAAAUGAGAGCUCUCUGUUAUCCAUUCAAUCAGAUCAGUGCUGUCAAUUAGUAGCACAUUCAGUUGACAGAAUUCCCCUUCCCUCGUUUCCCAUUGCGUUCCAAAGCAGGCUCGUCGUCUCAGUUUGAGCACUCGAAGAUUAGGCAGCACUCCGAUCAUCCUCAUAUCCUCCCAUGGAAGUCUGCAGCCACUCAAGUUCAGCUUCCUCAGUGUUACUGGGAAAGCAAUGUUCCGAGACAGAUCAUCCUUCAAAUUCGGAUACGGCUCUGCAUACAAACUCAGCUUCUCAAGCCUAUGAAGAUGAACAAGAUUGUGCAGUUCAUAUCCUGACCAUCCCGUCUUGUACGUGCCUCUGUACGAGUAAACGAUUCCCAACUUCUUCAAGUUUGGUAUCAUUUCCAACAUCCUCUCCGAGCACUUGAAAUCUUGUACACGCGAGAGCGUGUGCAGGUUUUCCAUACACGGCAAGCUCUCUGCAGACGGGUCGGGCAAGAAACAAUCCAACAGUACAACGUGCCUCAACUGUGGCAUUCUCCAAAUUUCGAAUCUCAUACACCACUCAUGUAAGCUUUCAUCAUCUAAUAAACAUAAGUCACCAUCUGAUUUACAGAGUUUGAACGAAGGUGUACUCGGAAUCCUUACAACUAAGGUCUGAAGAUCGCGAAGCUGGUACAAGGAAUCCGAUACAAGCCUCAGCUCCAUUCUAAUAGGUUCACAUCUCAAACCAAGGUAUCUCAAAUGAAUUAGCUCACUGAUAUCCUCAACAGAUGGUCCAAGUGUCACACUUAAUGCAUCGAACACCUUAAGAAGUCUAAAUUCUUUCCAAGAAUUGAACGCCCAAUGCUUGAAAAGAAGGAGGGUAUGCAUAGCUGAAAC
rnacentral:lncRNA from 1 species